rnacentral:tRNA from 1 species
GCCCAGGUGGCUGAGUCAGUUAAGCAUCUGACUUCAGCUCAGGUCAUGAUUCACAGUUUGUGAGUUCGAGCCCCACGUUGGGCU